rnacentral:misc_RNA from 1 species
GGUGUACAGUCAUUAAUAAGCUCUGUAUAAAUCUGUGUACCGGUACAUUGUACAUUGUAAAUGUAUGAUGUACAAAUGUAUGUCUCUGAUGGUUAAUCCAAUGUAUGUGUAAGGUUUAUCAGUUAGAUCGGUAUUUCAUCUAGAAGAUUUUCAUUUUUCUUACCUGGUCUGUGAAUUAUCCAGUGGUUUUUCUCUAGGUUCACAGCAUCAUGGUAAGCAUACAUGUAGUUAACAUUUCCUUUUGCAUUUAUAAGGUUUUUAAAUAUAGUUGAUUUCUGUUACAUAACAAAACAACUGUAUUAUGCAGUGGUACAUUGGAUCUAAUAUAUUAUUCCUGAUGUAUUUAUUUAUUAAUGAACUACAGUAGCUAUUUUUUAUUUUGACAUGCCAUAUACAUGCACUGUCACUUGUUAAGUUAAUGUAUGACUGUAUGUGAAAUAAAACCUGAUUUGCUAUUCAGUACUUU